ensembl:misc_RNA
ACUUCCUCUGCCUAUUUUAAGAGCAAAAGUCCUGCAGGUUUAUCUCUUUGAACCCCACAUAUCUUUGUGUCUUUCUGUUCAGUUUUUGAUCCACAGAGAUGUCAUAAAUAUCUCUAUCAUUCCAAGUUCGUAUUAAAAA